rnacentral:rRNA from 1 species
AACGAACGCUGUCGGCAUGCCUAACACUUGCAAGUCGAACGAGAUGCAUUAGGGUAGCUAGUGGCGCACGGGCGCGUAAAGCGUGGGAAUCUGCGCUGGGGUCUGGGAUAACCGCUGGAAAGGACGGCUAAUACCGGAUGAUGCUGAAAAUCCAAAGAUCUAUCGCCCUGGGAUGAGCCCGCGUCGGAUUAGCUAGGUGGUGGGGUAAAGGCCUACCAAGGCGACGAUCCGUAGCUGGGCUGAGAGGAUGAUCGGCCACACUGGGACUGAGACACGGCCCAGACGCCUACGGUAGGCAGGAGUGGGGAAUAUUGGACAAUGGGCGCAAGCCUGAUCCAGCAAUGCCGCGUGAGUGAUGAAGGCCUUAGGGUUGUAAAGCUCUUUUACCCGGGAUGAUAAUGACAGUACCGGGAGAAUAAGCCCCGGCUAACUCCGUGCCAGCCGCCGCCGUAA